rnacentral:rRNA from 1 species
GACGAACGCUGGCGGCGUGCUUAACACAUGCAAGUCGAACGGAAAGGCCCUGCUUUUGUGGGGUGCUCGAGUGGCGAACGGGUGAGUAACACGUGAGUAACCUGCCCUUGACUUUGGGAUAACUUCAGGAAACUGGGGCUAAUACCGGAUAGGAGCUCCUGCUGCAUGGUGGGGGUUGGAAAGUUUCGGCGGUUGGGGAUGGACUCGCGGCUUAUCAGCUUGUUGGUGGGGUAGUGGCUUACCAAGGCUUUGACGGGUAGCCGGCCUGAGAGGGUGACCGGCCACAUUGGGACUGAGAUACGGCCCAGACCCCUACGGGAGGCAGCAGUGGGGAAUAUUGCACAAUGGGCGGAAGCCUGAUGCAGCAACGCCGCGUGCGGGAUGACGGCCUUCGGGUUGUAAACCGCUUUCGCCUGUGACGAAGCGUGAGUGACGGUAAUGGGCAAAGAAGCACCGGCUAACUACGUG